UGGGGAAUAUUGGACAAUGGGCGCAAGCCUGAUCCAGCAAUACCGCGUGUGUGAAGAAGGCCUGAGGGUUGUAAAGCACUUUCAGCGAGGAGGAAGGGUUAAUAUUUAAUAGAUAUUGAUUUUGACGUUACUCGCAGAAGAAGCACCGGCUAACUCUGUGCCAGCAGCCGCGGUAAUACAGAGGGUGCAAGCGUUAAUCGGAAUUACUGGGCGUAAAGCGUGCGUAGGCGGAAUAGUAAGUCAUAUGUGAAAUCCCCGGGCUUAACCUGGGAACUGCAUCUGAAACUGUUAUUCUAGAGUAUGGUAGAGGAUAGUGGAAUUUCCGGUGUAGCGGUGAAAUGCGUAGAUAUCGGAAGGAACACCAGUGGCGAAGGCGACUGUCUGGGCCAAUACUGACGCU
rnacentral:rRNA from 1 species